rnacentral:rRNA from 1 species
GGGCCCGCACAAGCGGUGGAGCAUGUGGUUUAAUUCGAUGCAACGCGAAGAACCUUACCAGGGCUUGACAUACUACAAAUCUUUUAGAGAUAAAAGAGUGCUUUCGAGAAUGUAGAUACAGGUGGUGCAUGGCUGUCGUCAGCUCGUGUCGUGAGAUGUUGGGUUAAGUCCCGCAACGAGCGCAACCCUCGUUUUUAGUUACCAAUUUAUUGAGAAGUUAGAAAGACUGCCGGUGACAAACCGGAGGAAGGUGAGGAUGACGUCAAGUCAGCAUGCCCCUUAUGUCCUGGGCUACACACGUGCUACAAUGAUGGGGACAAAGAGUUGCCAAUCUGCGAAGAUGAGCUAAUCUCGUAAACUCCAUCUAAGUUCGGAUUGUAGGCUGCAACUCGCCUACAUGAAGUUGGAAUUGCUAGUAAUCG